UUCUAUGUGAGAACACAAUCUUAUGUGAGAAUAAAUCUUGGCCUCUGGAUCGUUUCUAAUCUAACAGCUGAAAUAAGGAAUUACUAAUGGCAUUUUCGUAAAUUUGUUAAACAAUAACCCAACCACCUCCUUCCUUUCACGCCUAACCGCUUCUCUCCCUAAAAUUGCCAAACCUUUGUUUCCCCCUCUAUUUUGUCUCUCUUCAAUGUGCAACCAUUAGAAAGCCUCAAUCAAGCUCGAAUUUCUCUUGAAUCUCGGUUUAAUUGCUGCGAUUUCUAUCCACAAUCUCGAAUAUAUUCAUCGAACUUCCAGAUUUCCUCCAUUAAAGGUAAGAUAUUAAACUUUAUUUUCAUGAUUAUGUGAUUAUUCAUGUGAUUUUGGGCAGAUUUUGUUGAAUUUAAUUAUAUUUUGGAGCGAUUAUUUGUGUUUAGAUUCAAUUUCGUUCUUAAUUUGUGUUUAUAUUCGAAUUCUAUCAUGUUUUGUGAAAUUCUAUUGUUUCAAAUUCAUAUUUGUGCAAAUUGAAUUGUUCGACGUUCGAUCUAUAAUAAUUUGAUUCGACUCCAUAUGUUGAACAUUGUUGUGUUUUCUUAUUUUUUCAAUUUCAGAUUGAUCAUUAUUCCAUCUGUUUGAGCUAUGGGAUUAGAAUUUCAUCAUACUCCGGUAUCAUCAUUCGCCGAAUCCGGUUUCUAUCUGCUUGAGCUAAGGAAUUAACAGUUCUUUAUAGGCUGCUAUCAUCAAUCACUGAAUUGAAUCUGCUUAGAACUUCUAUGGAGAAUAGUACUUCUACCUUUGACAAAGAGAAGGCACAAGAACGGUUAUAAAAGCUCUCUAGUGGUGUUGCUGUUUUCAAGGUCCUCCAUUUGUUCCUGAAAUAUGAUCCCUUACCGGACCAAGUUGAGUGGCAUGGGGUGGAUAAAGAAACUGAAGAUUCUAAGACCCCUUUUAUAGCAAGGGUUUUUGCUAGCAUCUCGAGUCUCUCGAGUUUGCCUGAUCUUGAUCCCAAAGAUGGAGCAAUCGUAAGAGGCGAUACUCCUAUGUCAGUCACAUGUUUUGCUGCUCCUAGUUGAUCGAUGAUGUAUGUGGUCUCCCUAAUUAUAAUCUUUUAAUGAUUGCAGGGGUAAAUGAUGAAUCUGGUUGAUCCCAUUUUGUUUGGCAGGAUAACCAGUUUCGUGUGUUCUAAUUAUUGUUGCAUAUGUUGUAAUUAUUUUUGUAUAUGUUCUAAUUGUUGUAUUUGCUAUAAACAGUACU